CCGGCAUCCACUUCUCGGUCAAACUUCACUGUGGGUGCACGCCAGAGGCUGGCAGAUCCUGAGAAGCUGGGACUCCUGGACGCAGACCUAAGGAAUCUGAUGCCCUCUUCUGGACUCCACAGAUCCUGUCCACACAUGGUGCGCAGACACACAGUUUUUGCCGUCUCAGGGUCACUGUGAGCAUCCAUGUUUGGUCCUGCACAACUCCAGGAGUUAUCUAGUCAUGAAACGUCAGUGCCGGGAGUGGAGUCCUCUGUCUGCCUGUGCGUGGCCUGGAACAUUGAGAAGAGAGCAAAGGAUGGACAAUGGGAGGUCUCAUGGCAUCUCUGCUACUGGGCUCCCAGCAUGUUUCCUGCUCACACUUAGCUGUUGUUCUUUGUUUGUUUAUUUGUUUGUUUGUUUUGAGACAGUUUCUCUGUAGCUUUGGAGCCUAUCCUGGA